GUCAGAGUGUGACGGUUGGUGUUCACUAUCAGCUGGAUUAAAUUGUUAAUUGAUGUGGGAAAGUCAUCCUAAUUGUGCACAUUCCGAGGCAGAGGGUCCUGAACUGUGGAAUAUAAUGUGAAACAUUAAAGAUGUGCUACAGACAGAGAGAUGCCAAGUAUACCGAGGCGCACUUUCUCUGGAUAAAAGAAGAAUGCUUUGUGGAGGUCUGAAUUUCUUGAGAUGCGUUUACAUGUCAUUAGCUUCUGAGGCGGUAAAACUAAGGAUCAGCAGCCUCUUAUGGCUCAGCUGUGAAAUGGCCCCCAAUAGACUUUGGUGGUUAUAAAUUUUUGGUCACUCAGGUGGUGGAAAUGUCUUGGGAGAUUGUGGAACCCUUGAGAGGUGUGGCCUGGCUUCAGAAAGUGAGUCACUGAGGGGUGGACCUUGAGAUUUCCAGCUCAGUUUCCCAUCUUGUCUCUGCUCCUGGUCCACUGAAAUAUGAACAAACAACCUGCUGCUUCCGAAGCUACCAGCCCAGCCACCCACCCAAUGCGCUCCCUGCUAUGAUGUACUGUUAUUAAAGCCUGAGCCAAAAUGGAGCCUUUCCCCCUGAAGAUGCUUUAUCGGGGAUUUGGUCACAAUGAUGAGAAAGAUUGAAAGAUUCGAAGAUGCUUGUCCUGUGAGCAGUGAUGGUCCCGUGGAAGCCAUUAGUCUAAAGCCCCUCACUGGGACAUGGUGGAUGGGUAGUAGCACAGGUGCUACAGUCAACUACUCCUGAACAUGAGGCGUCAUAUCCUGUGUUACUCCAUUGGAGAAAACUGAUUUCCCCUCUUCCGUCUAGUCUCCAGGCUACCAGUGCAGGCUGCCAAGAGAGGACAGCAAUGAACCAGUCUCAGCCACAUGUGACCCCAUGGCAAUG